GGUCACCCUCAGCUCCUACUCACCCUCAGUCCAACCCAGAACACCCCACCGUUGGCCCCAUCUCUGAGCUUUGGGCACUCCAGAGAACAAUGUAUUGGCUUCCUCAGUGAUGUGGCUUCUUCCACGGGAGAGCACUGAACUGUGAGCCACAGUGGCCCCAUCUGGUGGCUGUCCUGCCUACUUCCCAGCCUCGUGAUCUUGGGCAAGUCAAUUCCCAUCUCUGAGCCUCAAUUUCCUCAUCCCUCUCCUGGGCUGUGGUGGAGAUGACAGGGUCCAGUGGUCAGGAAGCAGGCUGACGGCUGCAAAAUACUUAUCUCUUCCCCCCACAACCAUCCUCACCAGAAUUUUGGCCAGAAACAAGAGGAGUCCUGUCCGAGGAGAGCCCGGCUGGCUGACUGGAAUCCCAAGACAUGCCAAGGUCCCUGGGAAAUGACAGGACACCCAGAUCUGCUGGGAGCAGAGUUCUCAUAGGGUCCCAGCUGAGCCCUGGAACUCCCCAGACCCCCUCUGCCACUCCAUCUCUGCGUCAGCCCAGCACCUGUGCCCUAUCCGGCUUUGGCCACCAUCUCCACCCUGGGGAGGGGGAGCAUAACCCCCUCCAGCCUGAGGUUGGCGCCAAGGUUUAGGAGCCAGCACAGAAGCCUCUGAGAGCCAUAAGGGUAGAAAAGGUUACCCGGUACUAAACCAGCCAGCCUCGGGGUGAUCUCAUCCACUUCCCAAGAUAAGCCCCCUCCCCCACCCUCUGGCCACUGGCCAACAGGGUAAGUCACGAGGGAGCUGGUGGAAGAGUGUGUGUGAGGGCUGGGGGAAGGAUUUCAACUUGGGGUCACACUGUACAUUCUGUUUUGUGAUCAAUUCCCCCCAACAUUUACAGUAUUGACAAUUAGCAGUUUCCUGUCAGAUAAACUAUAAAGAUCUUCCCCCAUCACUUUUUCUUUUCCUAAUUAUUUCUAAAGUCUGCCAGGAUGGACACAUCAGAAUCUCUUUGUCCAGCCCUUGAGGAGGACAUGUAAACAGUGUCCAGUUUCUCUUUCUUACAAACACCAGUGCCAUAACCAUUUUUGUUCAAAUCCUCUUACGCAAUUGCCUCUCUCUCUCUCUCCCUUUCUCUCUUUCUCUCUCCCUCUCUCUAUUUCUCACUCAGUUGAGAUAAAUUCUGCCUGGUAGCAGGUGGGAGGGCAGGCCUCACUGUGUGCCUGAGUAGUUCUGGGCCCUUCCCCAAGCCAGAGGUGCCAGGCCCAGGGCAGAGGCCAGUCCAGGGCCACAGGGUCAGGACAGUGGACAGGCUAUGGUCUGCUGGACUCUGCCUGCUCGAGGCGGGCUCCCCAAGCUUCCACCUGCUCUUGCCCACCCCCAGCCCCAAGGACUAGGCUGGCCUGGACACAGGGAAAGGCCAUAUACAGGGUAUCACAUGACCCAUGCGUGCACACAGCCCCCAAUCCCAGGCAUAGGCAGAGGUCCCAGCCUCAGGGUGGGGCCCCCACACUCCGUCCAAUUCACAUCUUGCCUAGUGCUCCCCAGCUCUUGCUAGAAUGCUUCCAUAGACCAACAGCUCACUCUCCCUCCUAAGUUGCUGCCCGGCCUUUGGGGAGCAGGUGGAGCACAUGCUUCUUAUCAAAUCAAUACCUAUUCGGUAGAAUCACAUGAUUGCUGAGGAAGGUUUGGAUUCAGACACCAGGGUUUCAAACUCGACUCUGCAUUUACUAUUUUUGUGACCUUGGGCACAACCUUUUACAUGCCCAGGCUCAGUUUCUUCAUCUGUAAAAUGGGUUAAUAAUACUUGAUCAUAGGGUUGCAUGAAGAUUAAAUGAGAUAAUACAUGUAAAGUGCUCAGCAAGGCUCACAGAUGUGACCUAGUUUAUGAUCACAAAUUAUCACAAAUUGAGUCCCUACUAUGUCCAGUUAACAGAGAGACUCCCUCACUGGAAGCAACUCAGAGUGGCUGAAGCACAGAAGUGGUAGAGAGACAGGUCUCUAUUGCUCAGGCUGGAGUGCAGUGGCAUGAUCAUAGCUCACUGUAACCUCAAACUCCUGGGUUCAAGCGAUCCUUCUGCCUCAGCCUCCCAAGUGGCUGGAACUACAGGGGUGUGCGACCACUCCUGGCUCAUUUUGUUCAACAUUAUUUUGUUACAACAUUGAUGAAGAAAAAAAUCUAUUUCUGGCUGGGGCUACUGUCUGUGUGGAGUCUGUAGAGGACUUUCUCUGGGUACUCUGGUUUCUUCCCCCAUCCCAAAGAUGUGCAUGUUAGAUUAACUAGCUUGUCUGCAUGCUCCCAGUCUGCAUGAGUGUGAGUGUACUCAAGGCAAUGGCAUCCUGUCUAGGCCUGGUUCCCGCCUGGCGCCCUGAGCUGCUGGGAUAGGCUCCAGCCAUCCAUGACCUUGAACUGGAAUAACUGGAUAAAUAAUUCUAUUACUUGUUUUUAUUAAUCUUUCUUUCUUUCUUUUUUUUUUUUUUUUUUGAGAUGGAGUUUCACUCUUGUUGCCCACGCUGGAGUGCAAUGACACAAUCUUGGCUCACUGCAACCUCCGCCUCCUGGAUUCAAGAAAUUCUCCUGCCUCAGCCUCCUGAGCAGCUGGGAUUACAGGUGCCCACCACCAAGCCCGGCUAAUUUUUGUAUUUUUAGGAGAGACAGGGUUUCGCCAUGUUGGCCAGGCUGGUCUCAAAUCCCUGACCUCAGGUGAUCCACCUUCCCCAGCCUCCCAAAGUGCUGGGAUUACAGGUGUGAGCCACCACACCUGGCCUUGUUUCUAUUAGUCUUUCUUACACGUGUUUCAAUGUUUAAUAUGAGAAGCAUUUGGGUCUUUAUUUAGAAGUCUGAUGAUAUUUCUAUCACCAGAAAUAUGCUGUAGGAACUUAACUCUUGUUUAUGUCAAUUAGCCUAUGACAAAAUUGGUUUCCUUGUAUGUCAUUUUGCUUAAAGCUGCAAUUUCCAAGAACUACAUUAAGUGAGGACAUUAUAUAAAGACUUACUAUAUUCUAUUAGUUGUUGUCAGGCCUCUGAGCUCAAGCUAAGCCAUCAUAUCCCUUGUGACCUGCACCUAUACAUCCAGAUGGCCUGGAGCAACUGAAGAUCCAC
rnacentral:lncRNA from 10 species